GGACGGUUGGCGCAGUUGGUUAGCGCGUCUCUUUUACACAGAGAAGGCCGGGGGUUCGAAUCCCUCACCGUCCACCG
rnacentral:tRNA from 1 species